rnacentral:rRNA from 1 species
GAUCCUGGCUCAGGACGAACGCUGGCGGCGUGCUUAACACAUGCAAGUCGAACGAAGAGCGAUGGAAGCUUGCUUCUAUCAAUCUUAGUGGCGAACGGGUGAGUAACGCGUAAUCAACCUGCCCCUUCAGAGGGGGGACGAACAGUUGGAACGACUGCUAAUACCGCAUACGAUCCAAUCUCGGCAUCGAGGAUGGAUGAAAGGUGGCCUCUAUUUAUAAGCUAUCACUGAAGGG